AACGCGGAUAGGAAAAGUUGGUGGUCCUGCGCUGUUGAGAUGGUGAUCCACGUCAAAGGAAAAUUGUACCGGCCUCAUCUUCCUAGCAGUGGUAACCUCGAUUCCUUAGCACCCGACUCUUUGACGGUUCAAGCCCAGGUAAAAUCAAAUCGACUUUGUCCUCCGGAUAACCUCGACUCCUCAGCACCCGACUUCCUGCGUCCCUUGACUCCGUGUCACCCUCGACUCCGUGGCACCUGCUAAUGUUCUUCUUGAUGCCUCUCCUACUCCAAGACCUCCCUUCUCUCCGCCUCAGCCAUUUCUUCUCCAUCGUCUGUGGCUCCAACAAGUGGGCUGACCGUCUCCUCGGUGACUUCCAUUUCGCUGCCUCCACCGCCACCGGCAACUCCUCCCCCUCCUCCUUAGGAUUGUAAAUAAUUCGAGUCAAGAUUUGAGAUGUUCAAUUUUGUUUGAUAAAAUAAUCAUGACGUAUCGAACCAAGCUUAAAAUAAUCAAAAUUUUAAAAUGUAUGAUCAAACUUGACUUAAUUUGAUUUAUUUUUUAUGAAUUUGAAUUUGAUUUGAGAGUAUAAUUCUUUUAAUGUGAUGAGACUCUCAAUUCAAAUUUAUUGGAUUAAUUAAAAUUUUUAAUUAUUUAAUUGAUUAUUAAGUUUUAUAUUUUAAAUUUAUUUAUUUUAUUUAUUGUUGAUCGACUUGUAGCAGGUACCCGACGGUCGACGCCACCGUCGCCUACAUCAAAAUGCUUGUUUCCGUUUUUAUUUUUUAUUUUUUGGGUUUUCGUUUUCUGACCGCCGAUCCCGUAUGGCAUCCAUCUAUUUGGGUUUCAGGUGCUUGGUGCCGAAACCCACCUCUUAGCCGAUGGCAUUCGGCGAGCCUUCGAAGCUAGGGUUUCCAAACCCCUCUCUAUGGAUACAGCCAAGAAGCCCUCAUCGGCCGUCGUCAGAUCCUCCAGGCUGCUUAUGACAACCUUGCCGACCCCAGCUCCCGCGGGGACUACAACCGCGGCCUCGUGCAGGACCCUGAUUCCACUAUCACAGCCUACACGCCCCCUGGGAUAAGGUGAUAUUUCUCGGGGCUCUAUGUGUGCUACAAGAGGCAAGGCUAGCUGAAUUGGUCCUGCGAGUAGGAAAGAGUCUUCUCCUUGAGCGUCUUCCAAAAACUUUCAAGCAGGAUGUGGUCCUCAGCAUGGUAUUAGCUUAUGUGGAGUUCUCGAGGGAUGCUAUGGCCCUAAACCCUCCGGGCUUUGUUAAUUGCUGUGAAGUUCUUGAGAGGGCUCUGAAGCUUCUGCAGGAGGGGGAGCUAGCAACCUUGCACCCGAUCUUCUGGUACAGAUUGAUGAGACGUUAGAGGAGAUAACUGUAAAAUACCAGAAAAUAGAGAAUAAUGAUAUGGGAAUUUUCCGGAAUUUUAGACUUUUACAUCGCUAGAUUUGGGAUCAGCACCUGUAAUUGAAGAGGAAGUGUGUGGUGAUUUCCGGCAGCAACAGUUACACUAUCCUGCAAUACCCUACCUGGCUAUGGAUCAGUAUUAAAGGCUGUGAGAUUGAGAUUAAUCUAAGGGGAUGGUUAGGGUUAAAGCAAAUAACCCUAAUUAUUGCAAAUUAUCGAGUGCUGGAUUUAUUUUAGGAAUCAACGGGCACACUGGUUUACUUCGGCACAUUUUUCCAGCAGCAUCUCCUGUCCGGCAGCAACCUUUUUGGGCCGUGGAUUUAGGACUUUGAUUCGAGACGGUGUCUCGACGAGGGAUCUAUUUCGGAUUGGACCUUUCUAUUGG